AGCUACAUUCUAAACAGUGUGUGCUUGUGCUCUCUUUCGAUGUGGUUUAUUGGGCCUGUCUCGAGAGACCACCAUGGUGCACCUUAGUUUGGCCAAAUAGAGCUUAUGUAGCCCACACGCGUCUCGUGGCUAUAAUUAGAACUGAAACUCGAGACUGCCCCGAAGGGCGGGACUGCCCCGGCUUGGUCCGCCAGGCUUAUAAGAGCGCGGGAUCCUUGGGACUGGUUUGGCACAAGACUUUCCGACCAGGACACAUACAAAAUUUAGCCAGUAUCCAGGGCAUCUCAGUGCGAUCUCAGUGCUUCUUGUGCGAUUUAAGGAAGAUGAUGGUCUAAAAUGGGUUAUCGACCAGAAACCACAAGGACUACUAUACCUGUUGUCUUUCUCUGAGGCCCCACACAUCCAUUCAGAGGAAUAUGCAACUAAAUGAUAAAGCCCGAUGAUAAACUACUGAUCAUGGGGAGUCACAGAAUUUGAUCUUCACAGGGACCCCCAACCUCCCCUCCUCCCAGUGCUCCAUCGCCCGCAGAGGGUUACCUGACGAAGGGUCUGGAGAUGGCGAGGACCGUGCGGAUGAACCAGGACGGGUGGGCGAUGAUCAGACACUUGAGGUUCUUCCGUAACCUGCGUGCGCACGGGAAGAAGACAUGAAGCACUUCCUGAACCAGCUGAUCCCGGGCAUCUUGCGGCGGGGAGUGGCUCCAUUCAGCAGGAGAACUUCCGUCCAGGAAGUUUUGAUGGGAAAGAAAAGGUUUCAGGACCAAUGGACACAUCGGGUUUCCAAGCAUUCUCACAACACACGUCAUCACACUCGCUUGAGUGUGAAGCCCGUUGAAGGCUACCAUUCUGGAUAGUACGUUUUCAGCUGGAAGUGGUAGGACACUCGUGUUUAACAGGUCAUUUGCUGAAAAAAAUUACACAUACGUUCACCGACGUCAACACUCUCUCUACUAAUAUUAGGUUUUUAACUGAUAUUUGACUUUUAUUUAUCCAGUAAGGUCCCAUUGAGAUAUAAUAUCUCGUCUUCCAGGGAGUCCUGGCCGGGGCAUAUAAGUGAUUAGCGGGGUAACUCACCCUAUAAAGAAAAACCAAGCCAACAACACAAUAAAUAUACCUGCAUCCUUAUAUAUCUGUACAGGUCUACAAUGUAGUGCAGAGAUAAGCACGAAUUUAGGACCUCAAAUUUGAAGUUCCAACUGAAUCACAGAUGAGGUGUGAUCGUUGCACCCUUCAGUUACUAACACAUAAGCAAUAGCUGCAACAUUUUACUUUGCUCGAACAACUGCAUGACAAUUUAAUCUGCAAUGACAUCCCUUCCCCCGUACUGACCCUCCCACUCCAGGUCGUUGCCGUUGCUGUUGUCCAGCGAAUCGGUGUCGUUGGGCGUUUCCAUGGCGUCCACGUCCAGGUCGUCCAGGGACGCCUCGCUGGGGUCCAGGGAUAGCUUCAUGUGGGGCGCCACCAGGGUGCGCCGCUUGCCCUGCCCAGCGGAGUCCCCCAGCUUCAGGGAGCUGGGGGGGUCUGAGGGGGUCACCAGAGAAAACGGUCUUAGAAGAGCCAAAUUGAAGUUGACAUAAUUAUCAUUAAACUUUUUUAUGCAGGUUGGUGUUUCUGAGCGGUUAGGCUAGACAGGCUGAUAACCUUGUCCCAUUUCCUUUUCUGGCAUUUCAUUAUCUUCUCUGAUUGUAGGGAAUUAUGAAAAACAUAUGAUGUGUUUCCUCUACGUGAAUGGUAUCCUUGAUUGCUAUGCUAAUCGAUUUCCCUACACAGUCAUUUUAAUGUGCUGUAAAGCGUUGAUAUAAAUAAUGUCAUAUUAUAAGCCUACUAUCGUCCAACUGAACUGACUUGUUCUGUGGUCAGUGAGGCCGUAUGAUGACUCAACGUCGCCAUCUUCUGGCAGUGGUCUGAAAAGAACAACAGUAACAGGAAAGUCAUAAAGAUGUACAUAUACUAGACGGGUAGAUGCUAUUGACUGAAGAUUAAAUGGCUUGAAGCUUGA